rnacentral:misc_RNA from 1 species
UCUCCGUUGGUGAACCAGCGGAGGGAUCAUUACAGAGUUUUCACAACUCCCAACCCUUGCGAACCGUACCCAUUCUGUUCUCGUUGCUUCCGGCGGGGGGGACGGGGGGGCCCGAAACGGCCUCCCCGCCCCGCCCGCCGGGGGCGGCGGGCCCUACGAACCUUUAUAUCUCAACCACUAGAAACCGUCUGAGAAAACAAACAAAAUAAUCAAAACUUUCAACAACGGAUCUCUUGGCUCUG